CCUACGGGGGGCAGCAGUAGGGAAUUUUCGUCAAUGGGCGCAAGCCUGAACGAGCGAUGCCGCGUGAGUGAAGAAGGCCUUCGGGUCGUAAAGCUCUGUUGCGGGGGAAAAAGGCAGCAUCAGGAAAUGCGUGCUGACUGAUGGUGCCCCGCCCGACAGUCACGGCUAACUACGUGCCAGCAGCCGCGGUAAUACGGAGGUGGCGAGCGUUAUCCGGCAUGAUUGGGCGUAAGGGGUUCGCGGGCGGUCCUGCAAGUCGGGAGUGAAACGCAUGAGCUCAACUCAGGCAUGGCUUUGGAAACUGGAGGACUGGAGAGCAGGAGAGGGCGGUGGAACUCCAUGUGUAGCGGUAAAAUGCGUAGAUAUAUGGAAGAACACCAGUGGCGAAGGCGGCCGCCUGGCCUGUGGCUGACGCUGAGGCACGAAAGCGUGGGGAGCAAAUAGGAUUAGAUACCCGUGUAGUC
rnacentral:rRNA from 1 species